rnacentral:lncRNA from 1 species
UUCUCGAAAAUUUGUAAACCCUAGAAUCAUCAGCUACAGCAAUCAAAUUACUUCCAAAAGGGGGAUACAAAAGCCUGAAAGAGUACUAUAAAGAUUACAUAUAUAUAUAUAUAUAUUCCUAUGAAGGAUGCAUGAUAGCAUAGAAGGUGGUGGUCGUAUGAUCAUUUGCUCGCCGCAGGCUCGCCAACAAAUUCCUAUUGCGUACCCUCGGAACUCAAGCUUAGGCUCGGCCUCGGGANAAGGAUGCAUGAUAGCAUAGAAGGUGGUGGUCGUAUGAUCAUUUGCUCGCCGCAGGCUCGCCAACAAAUUCCUAUUGCGUACCCUCGGAACUCAA